rnacentral:tRNA from 1 species
GUUCAUAUAGCUCAGUAGGAUAGAGCGUUUCCCUCCGAAGGAAAAGGUCGUGGGUUCGAUUCCCGCUAUGAACACCA